rnacentral:rRNA from 1 species
UGCAGUCGAGCGACGGAUAAGGAGCUUGCUCCUUUGAAGUUAGCGGCGGACGGGUGAGUAACACGUGGGUAACCUACCUAUAAGACUGGAAUAACUUCGGGAAACCGGAGCUAAUGCCGGAUAACAUUUGGAACCGCAUGGUUCUAAAGUAAAAGAUGGUUUUGCUAUCACUUAUAGAUGGACCCGCGCCGUAUUAGCUAGUUGGUAAGGUAACGGCUUACCAAGGCAACGAUACGUAGCCGACCUGAGAGGGUGAUCGGCCACACUGGAACUGAGACACGGUCCAGACUCCUACGGGAGGCAGCAGUAGGGAAUCUUCCGCAAUGGACGAAAGUCUGACGGAGCAACGCCGCGUGAGUGAUGAAGGUUUUCGGAUCGUAAAACUCUGUUAUUAGGGAAGAACAAAUGUGUAAGUAACUGUGCACAUCUUGACGGUACCUAAUCAGAAAGCCACGGCUAACUACGUGCCAGCAGCCGCGGUAAUACGUAGGUGGCAAGCGUUAUCCGGAAUUAUUGGGCGUAAAGCGCGCGUAGGCGGUUUCUUAAGUCUGAUGUGAAAGCCCACGGCUCAACCGUGGAGGGUCAUUGGAAACUGGGAAACUUGAGUACAGAAGAGGAAAGUGGAAUUCCAUGUGUAGCGGUGAAAUGCGCAGAGAUAUGGAGGAACACCAGUGGCGAAGGCGACUUUCUGGUCUGUAACUGACGCUGAUGUGCGAAAGCGUGGGGAUCAAACAGGAUUAGAUACCCUGGUAGU